AACGCUGGCGGCGUGCCUAAUACAUGCAAGUCGAACGCGUCUUGGUCAAUGAAGUUGAGUGCUUGCAUUUAACUGAUUUGACAUUAAGACGAGUGGCGAACUGGUGAGUAACACGUGGGUAACUUGCCCCGAAGCGGGGGAUAACAUUUGGAAACAGGUGCUAAUACCGCAUAACAACAAAAACCACAUGGUUUUUGUUUAAAAGAUGGUUUCGGCUAUCACUUUGGGAUGGACCCGCGGCGUAUUAGCUAGUUGGUGAGGUAAUGGCUCACCAAGGCAAUGAUACGUAGCCGACCUGAGAGGGUAAUCGGCCACAUUGGGACUGAGACACGGCCCAAACUCCUACGGGAGGCAGCAGUAGGGAAUCUUCCACAAUGGACGAAAGUCUGAUGGAGCAACGCCGCGUGAGUGAUGAAGGGUUUCGGCUCGUAAAACUCUGUUGUUGGAGAAGAACGGGUGUCAGAGUAACUGUUGACAUCGUGACGGUAUCCAACCAGAAAGCCACGGCUAACUA
rnacentral:rRNA from 2 species